rnacentral:rRNA from 1 species
AGUUUGAUCAUGGCUACAGGACGAACGCUGGCGGCGUGCUUAACACAUGCAAGUCGACGGAAAGGCCCUGCUUUUGUGGGGUGCUCGAGUGGCGAACGGGUGAGUAACACGUGAGUAACCUGCCCUUGACUUUGGGAUAACUUCAGGAAACUGGGGCUAAUACCGGAUAGGAGCUCCUGCUGCAUGGUGGGGGUUGGAAAGUUUCGGCGGUUGGGGAUGGACUCGCGGCUUAUCAGCUUGUUGGUGGGGUAGUGGCUUACCAAGGCUUUGACGGGUAGCCGGCCUGAGAGGGUGACCGGCCACAUUGGGACUGAGAUACGGCCCAGACUCCUACGGGAGGCAGCAGUGGGGAAUAUUGCACAAUGGGCGGAAGCCUGAUGCAGCAACGCCGCGUGCGGGAUGACGGCCUUCGGGUUGUAAACCGCUUUCGCCUGUGACGAAGCGUGAGUGACGGUAAUGGGUAAAGAAGCACCGGCUAACUACGUG